GGGCCGGUGGUCUAGUGGUAUGACGCCGCUCUCACGCGGCGGAUGUCGCGAGUUCGAAUCUUGCCCGGCCCA
rnacentral:tRNA from 3 species